CAAUAGCGUAUAUUAAAGUUGUUGCAGUUAAAGAGCUCGUAGUUGGAUUUGUGGCGUACGGUGUGUUCCGGGCACUUGUUGUCUGAGUAACCUGCUGUUGCCAUCCUUGGGUGGAACCUGUGUGGCAUUAGGUUGUCGUGCAGGGGAUGCCCAUCAUUUACUGUGAAAAAAUUAGAGUGUUCAAAGCAGGCUUAUGCCGUUGAAUAUAUUAGCAUGGAAUAAUGAGAUAGGACUUUUUUGCUAUUUUGUUGGUUUGCGCAAAGAGGUAAUGAUUAAUAGGGACAGUUGGGGGUAUUCGUAUUCCAUUGUCAGAGGUGAAAUUCUUGGAUUUUUGGAAGACGAACUACUGCGAAAGCAUUUACCAAGGAUGUUUUCAUUAA
rnacentral:rRNA from 1 species